rnacentral:rRNA from 1 species
GGCUUAGAGUUUGAUCAUGGCUCAGGACGAACGCUGGCGGCGUGCUUAGCACAUGCAAGUCGAACGAGGCUUCAGAAGCUUGCUUUUGAAGCCGAGUGGCAAACGGGUGAGUAACGCGUAAACAACCUGCCUUCAGGAUGGGGACAACAGACGGAAACGACUGCUAAUACCGAAUACCUUCCGGAGACCGCAUGAUCUCCGGAAGAAAGGGUGGCCUCUACUUGUAAGCUAUCGCCUGAAGAGGGGUUUGCGUCUGAUUAGGCAGUUGGCGGGGUAACGGCCCACCAAACCGACGAUCAGUAGCCGGUCUGAGAGGAUGAACGGCCACACUGGAACUGAGACACGGUCCAGACUCCUACGGGAGGCAGCAGUGGGGAAUCUUCCGCAAUGGACGAAAGUCUGGCGGAGCAACGCCGCGUGAGUGAUGACGGCCUUCGGGUUGUAAAGCUCUUUGAUCCGGGACGAAUGGUCCCUGUGCGAAUACCACAGGGAAGUGACGGUACCGGAAGAACAAGCCACGGCUAACUACGUGCCAGCAGCCGCGGUAUACGUAGGUGGCAAGCGUUGUCCGGAAUUAUUGGGCGUAAAGCGCGCGCAGGCGGCCCUUUAAGUCCAUCUUAAAAGCGUGGGGCUUAACCCCAUGAUGGGAUGGAAACUGGAGAGCUGGAGUAUCGGAGAGGAAAGCG